rnacentral:rRNA from 1 species
UACAGAGGUCUCGAGCGUUGUUCGGAUUCAUUGGGCGUAAAGGGUGCGUAGGUGGCGCUGUAAGUCGGGUGUGAAAUCCUGAGGCUUAACCUCGGAACUGCAUUCGAUACUGCGGUGCUUGAGGACUGGAGAGGAGACUGGAAUUCAUGGUGUAGCGGUGAAAUGCGUAGAUAUCGUAAGGAAGACCAGUGGCGAAGGCGGGUCUCUGGACAGUUCCUGACGCUGAGGCACGAAGGCCAGGGGAGCAAACGGG